rnacentral:rRNA from 1 species
GACGAGCCACCCAAACGUUAUUCGGAAUUACGGGGCUUAAAGGGUGCGCAGGCGGCCAAGUGUGUGAGGCGUGAAAGCCCGGGGCUUAACCCCGGAAUUGCACCUCAAACUACAUGGCUAGAGCAUUGGAGAGGGUAGCGGAAUUCACGGUGUAGCAGUGAAAUGCGUAGAUAUCGUGAGGAACACCAGAGGCGAAGGCGGCUACCUGGACAAUUGCUGACGCUCAGGCACGAAAGCGUGGGGAGCAAAAGGG